GAGAUGUGAUCUACAAUCAAUGAAGGGGGAAUGAAUUAAUUUUUAGAUUAUUUUUGGAAGUAUACUUAUUGCUUAAAAACAAGGGCAGAAAAUCCCUAAUCGGUAUUAUCAUCCUUUAUGUAUGAAUGCUGGGAAGCUUCUUGCGUAGCUUCGACCUUUGAAACUGGAACACUUUUUCUCGUUUUUCGGUAAAUCCCGUAUCAUGCAAUGCAAUAUUGUCAUAUACUUAUCCGCCCAUCGAGAGAAAACAACUCUUUCCCACUAAAAGUCUAACUUCUACGAGAAGGAGAACACAUUCAAGUAGAGACAGUUUUGAGUGAGGAAGAUAUGAAGAAAUGGGAAGCUUGUCGACAAGCUCUUUCAGGAUUUGAAUUCACUGUAGAAGAGGAAGACAAAAUAUUAGAAAAAGCAUUCGGGUUACUUUGCUCCCCUUAUUGGAGUGAAGAACGUGAAUGAGUUGUACCUAAAUUCGAAGAAAUUGAUGCCAUAUUGGAUUAUUUGAGGGAUUUAGGCCUUUCGGAUGAUGAUAUUUCCAAGGUACUUCAGAAAUUUCCGGAGGUUGUUGGUUGUAGUCUUGAGAAUGAGUUGAAGAAGAACAUUCAAAGACUUGAACAACAGUGGCGUAUAAAAGGAAAAUCAUUAAGGAAUUUUUACUACGUAAUCCCGAAAGUGUUGGGUUAUAUUUUUGAUUGCAAGGGAGAUUGUAUGGCACUCUGUACUCGUUGUUGGGUUCAGUUUUAACUAAUACUUCUGGACUACUAUCCUGAAACCACAUCUUUAUGUUGUAUAUUAGCUGUGAAUCUCAUACCAUCUUAUUUGUUUAUUAGGAUUCAUUGGUUCAUAUACAAACCUGUAUGAACGUAUUGUGCAUUAUAAAGAAACAA